rnacentral:rRNA from 1 species
AUUGAACGCUGGCGGCAUGCUUUACACAUGCAAGUCGAACGAAGAUCUAGCUUGCUAGAUCUUAGUGGCGAACGGGUGAGUAAUACAUAAAUAAUCUGCCCAUAUGACUGGGAUAACUAUUGGAAGCGAUAGCUAAUACCGGAUAGGUUGAUCGGAGGCAUCUCUGAUGAAUUAAAGUAGGAUUUCUACACAAAUGGAUGAGUUUAUGGCGCAUUAGUUAGUUGGUGGGGUAACGGCCUACCAAGACGAUGAUGCGUAGCCGACCUGAGAGGGUGACCGGCCACAAUGGGACUGGGACACGGCCCAGACUCCUACGGGAGGCAGCAGUAGGGAAUUUUCGGCAAUGGGCGCAAGCCUGACCGAGCAACGCCGCGUGAGUGAUUAAGGCCUUCGGGUUGUAAAGCUCUGUUGUAAGGGAAGAACAUUCAGGAUAGGAAAUGAUCUUGAACUGACGGUACCUUACCAGAAAGCCACGGCUAACUACGUGCCAGCCGCCGCGGUAAAAC